AUCCAGCUGACGAGUCUUAAAUGUAGUGAAACGUGCGUCCUGGAU
rnacentral:hammerhead_ribozyme from 1 species